rfam:Gossypium raimondii chromosome 9, whole genome shotgun sequence.
GCGCUCUUAAUUCAAUCAGUAGAACAUGGGUCUCUAAAAUCCAAUGUUGUAGGUUUAAAUCCUACAGAGCGUG